rnacentral:rRNA from 1 species
UACGAGGGGGGCGAGCGUUGUUCGGAAUUAUUGGGCGUAAAGGGUGCGUAGGCGGUUCGGCAAGUUUCGUGUGAAAUCUUCGGGCUCAACUCGAAGCCUGCACGAGAUACUGCCGGGCUUGAGUGUGGGAGAGGUGAGUGGAAUUUCCGGUGUAGCGGUGAAAUGCGUAGAUAUCGGAAGGAACACCUGUGGCGAAAGCGGCUCACUGGACCAUAACUGACGCUGAGGCGCGAAAGCUAGGGGAGCAAACAGG